rnacentral:pre_miRNA from 1 species
UCUGGUCGCCUUCUCCACUGGAGAGGACGACAGGACUGGUCGUCCUCUCCAAUGGAGAAGGCGACCUGA